AGCCGCCCUCGUCCCGCCCCGCCCAGGCCCCGCCCCCCGGAGCCCCGCCCACGCCCCGCCCUCGACCCGCCCCCCGAGCCCCCGCCCUCGACCCGCCCCCCGAGCCCCCGCGCGCAGACCCCGCCUCCGACGCCCUGACCCGCGGGGCCCCUCGGGGGCGGGGCCGGCCUCCUGCGCAGGCGCGGCCGCGGGGUCGCCCGUCAGUGACGUCACAGGCGGCGCGUCAGACCCCGCGCCCCGAGCCCGGCUGCCGGCUGGAACCUGCGGGUGCGGCGUCCGAGGGGCGCGGCGACGGGGACGGGGACGGGGACGGGGAGGCCCGCGGAGCCCCCGGCGGUCGGAGGGACGCGGAGGCCGAGACGCGGGGCCGCCCCGGCCCGGCCCGGGAGGACCCGAGGAUGAAGGCACCCAGAAGCCAAACUGGCAAAGUCAUUUGAGGAAUUGCACUGCACAGGGACAGAGAAAUGGAGCAGUGGCUAGAGAGAUCCUGCCGCAGGUUUAUUUGUACAAACAGCACAGGAGGACACCAGGCCCGUGUACACGGAAGCCCAGCACUGGAGCCUCGGUGGGGGCCUGGGCACCUUUGGGAGCCUGCACUGCUGAGGCUUUUGCUUCGUUGCAAAGGAGAACGGGGAAAGGCCGUCCCUGA
rnacentral:lncRNA from 1 species